rnacentral:lncRNA from 1 species
CUCAUGUUUGCUUCUUGUAGACGCCGGUUCUCACGCUCGAAUCUUUCUAUUGGAUCCUCCUGCUGAGCUUGCUGCUCUCUCAUGGUAUGAUACUCCUUUUCAUAUUUCUUCAGCUUCUUCUGGCUAAUCUUCAUGUUACAGGCUAACUCCAUCAGCUUUUUUGCAUUCUCCUCUGAGCGGUACCUCUUGGGCAGCUGUACACGGAAGAACUUUAAAGCCCCUUCGAAGUCGGUCAGUAACAAGUCAUCCUUGGUAGUUUUUAAUAAUCCCAGUGCAACGUUAAAGAUAACACUUAUUCCCUCACAUAAGAGUAAGUCAAUAAUAUGGAAGACCAUGUAGAGAGGGAAUUUUGCCGUGAACAAUGUAAGGAACCACUGGGAAGCAUACAUGUGUGCUUCAAGGCUGAUGUCCAGGAAGUGGUUAUACA